rnacentral:tRNA from 1 species
GGUAGGGUGGCCGAGAAAUAGGCGAUGAGCUGUAGACUCACUUACGGGAAUAAACCCCCCCAACCA